rnacentral:rRNA from 1 species
AAACGACUCUCGACAACGGAUAUCCCGGCUCUCGCAUCGAUGAAGAACGUAGCGAAAUGCGAUACUUGGUGUGAAUUGCAGAAUCCCGUGAACCAUCAAGUCUUUGAACGCAAGUUGCGCCCGAAGCCAUCAGGCCGAGGGCACGUCUGCCUGGGUGUCACGU